UAAUACGGAGGGUGCAAGCGUUGUUCGGAAUUACUGGGCGUAAAGAGCGUGUAGGCGGCCAAUUAAGUCUGGUGUGAAAGCCCGGGGCUUACCCCCGGAAGUGCGCUGGAAACUGACUGGCUAGAGUAUGGGAGAGGGAAGUGGAAUUCCUGGUGUAGCGGUGAAAUGCGUAGAUAUCAGGAGGAACACCGGCGGCGAAGGCGGCUUCCUGGACCAAUACUGACGCUGAGACGCGAAAGCGUGGGGAGCAAACAGGAUUAGAUACCCUGGUAGUCCACGCCGUAAACGAUGAGUACUAGGUGGUGCGGGUGUUGACCCCUGCGCUGCCGCAGCUAACGCAUUAAGUACUCCGCCUGGGGAUUACGGUCGCAAGAUUA
rnacentral:rRNA from 1 species